AAUGUGACACCGAUAUAGUAUAGCCAGUUAUAACCGGAUCUGUUAUCGGUCAGACCGUGUUGUCCUGGUGGAGAUCACAGCUUAUCUACCGUCAUAUCAAAGGAGCAAUCAUGACGAUUCGACGAAUAUUCCCGAUAAUCCUCUUGUGUGUUUACUUUGUCGUCAGUCAGCAAGCCAUCCCAGAGGGUUGUCAAACCAUCACUGUUCCAUUGUGUAUUGGAAUGAAUUACAGUAUGGCGUUCAUGCCGAACAGGUUUGGACAUCUACAUGUUGAUUCGGCUGGCCUGGGAAUUCACCAAUUCCUUCCUUUGGUUAAAAUAGAAUGUAGUUCAUUUUUACGGACAUUCCUUUGUAAUACUUAUUUUCCCCAGUGCAGUCCAAGAGGAGGUGGAAUCGAACCAUGUGCCUGGCUCUGUAGACAUGCGAGGGAAGGCUGCGAACCACUCAUGAAUGAGUUCGGAUUCGAGUGGCCAUCGUCACUAGAUUGUUCUACAUAUUCUGAAGAUUAUAGAUGCUUGACAUAAAUAACACGUGUCUCUUGUUUUCAGAUCAUAUUCCUAUCGUAAUUCCAUUGUAUGCCUAUCAUAUUCCGAUUGUAAUCCUAUGAUUAAGAUUCACAUAUAUUACCCUGAACAAUAAAGGCCAUUUGAAAUUGGAA